AGCAUUUUGCGGGAUGGGUGGAUCGAGACAAGGGCCCACGCCAGAGGCCUGUGCCUUCCUGUCAGAGCAUAGCUUCUUGGGGCUACCCAGCUGCGGGUGGUGAUGCUGUUAAAAACAAUUUCUGUUGAGCAGAAUCCUGAGCAGGGGCCAGGCUGCCUCUAUCCUCCUCCUACUGCCGCUCCAAUUUACGUCCGUCCCAGGCGCCUCUCAGCCUUGCCGAGGAACAUCGGAAGAGCCGCUCUGACUCCGCGAAGCACAGCAGCACUAUCCCUGCAGUCAGACAAGGCCUCUGCAGGCUGCACCUUAUGGGGAACUGAACGGAAAGGGUGGCAGAACCUCAAAGGAAAUUUCCCCUCUCUGCCAAGCUCCAGAUGGAAGACCUUCCCACGGAAACGCUUGCUGCAGACGCUUUG
rnacentral:lncRNA from 1 species